CAGAAUAUGUGACAGGAAGAUGGAUGGGUGUCCUCAGCAGUUAGCCUCAGGUAUUUAUGCAGUGAUAUUUUCAUUUAGUUUUUUAUACUGCAGUGCUGUAAAAAGCACUGCGUCCAUGCCUGUCAGCUGCCGAGCCGAGCUGGUUUGAGGUUUCAAAAUUCAGAAUCUGAGCUCUAGAUUAUUUCCAAGCCCAUGGUGUCCUAAAUGGGCUUCUUAAAAGAGACCCACAUCUACUGAAUUUCACACGCUCAUCUGUGAACUUGCAAUGUGAGCUGGUGUCCUCACAACGUCAACUGCCAGUUUAUUGCACAGGGAUCCUCCCUUUUCACAGGAAUAAGAAGUGAUGAAGAAACCGUCCUCGGUUUAGAAAGUCCAUCCUGUUCUGGUACUUUCUAUGGAGCAAUCGGCCUCCUGGAGGCCCCUGAAUCUGACCAAUCGCGGCCUCUCCUGAACCGAUCAUGAAACACAGCACUGCUCUCUUCAAAGAGGCAAAAUUCUUGCGGCUUCCUGCUGCUGGACGAAGACGAUAAACAGCAUCACUUCAUCGGAUUACGCGCUUAUGAAGACAUGUCUGUUACGAUGAUAAACUCAAUAACCAAGCUGACUGUUCAGUGUAAUGACAUUUAUGGAUGCACCGGUCACAGGAAUCCUUCGGUGGAGGCAGAGACAGAUGAUUAAGAUGAAGCUGCUGAGAGAGAGAUCUGCCUCUUACAGGGCCUGUUCUGUGAAGGGACCGGCUCCUUCCUGGCACAGUUCUUCAGCAUGAUAUUAGAGAUAUAUCCCCCCCCCCUUUUCUGAGGAUUUGUUUGGAUGGUGGUUGUCAUGACAACAUUCGGCAUGGUACUAUCCAGUGUGGGUAAUGCUGAAGCUCUUGGUUUACGUGGGUGCUGCUCGUCCCACAUCCCUAACCAUGAACACGAACGGCUGUUAUUAAUAACCUGCCAAAGCGAGAAAGGUGCCCACAGUUUUUAAAAGUGCAAUUAUUGUCUGUUCUUGUUGUUUCACAUGGAAACACAGAAAAGCUGUUAAAGUUAAUUUCUCAGCUCAGGUUGUUUCAAACAAUAAAAUUGAAUAUACAAUGUG